GACGUAGGGCGCGAGCGUUGUCCGGAUUUAUUGGGCGUAAAGAGCUCGUAGGCGGCUUGUCGCGUCGUCUGUGAAAUCCCGCGGCUCAACUGCGGGUCUGCAGUCGAUACGGGCAGGCUAGAGUUCGGUAGGGGAGACUGGAAUUCCUGGUGUAGCGGUGAAAUGCGCAGAUAUCGGGAGGAACACCGAUGGCGAAGGCAGGUCUCUGGGCCGAUACUGACGCUGAGGAGCGAAAGCGUGGGGAGCGAACAGG
rnacentral:rRNA from 1 species